UUGAGCCGGAUGCGGGGAUGACUCGCACGUCCGGUUCUGAGGGGGCUCCGGUGCAGCAAUGCCCCGGAGCUACCCGAC
rnacentral:ncRNA from 1 species